rnacentral:sRNA from 1 species
UGCUACUGGUUUAUCUGACCCAAGGUUGC